CUGGCCGGAACUUUCGAAGGGUUCCCUCCAAAUAUUUGUUGAUGAAUUUUUGAUUAUUCCGUCUGACGAAAUUUCAAGAUUCUUGCAACGUGUACCAGAACAAAGAAAUUCCUCGAUCGGAUGACAUGUUUGAUACACGUUGCUGCCCGUCAAACACAUGUUCCUCAUUACUCACCAUCUUAACAUCCCAUCAACAAUGCGGAUAAGGAAAAAAAGAUAUACGAAUAGCAAUUUUUUCCACGUUUCUCCCAACUUUGAAAUGCAAUGGCUAAUGUAAUAUUAAACACAUAGAUGGCGAUGGCUGGUGUAAAUUGAACCUGUGCCAUAACGUGAUCCUAAAAU